AGCGGCCCCGCGGCCGCGCCCCGGCCCUGCACCGAGCGGCCCCGGGGGGGCAUCGGCGGAACUGCCUUCAUGUACAAAGUAUGCCGAAGCGCCGGGCGAGAUCAUCCGCGUGGGUGUAGCCGGGGCAUUUAUGGAAAACAAACCCAAACCGGCGCACACAAUGAGCGUGUUUUAUUAUGCAUGGACUUGAACGCUUCAAGCGCAAGAUAGAGAUAACUCCGCACGCUGUUAGCGGCAUCGGCAGGGUGCCGCUGAGAUAACAUCCACGCGAUUCUGAUCGAAAAGACCUUUCUACAAAACGAGGGAGGAAGAGAAAGGAAAUCACAAUUUUCGUAAGCUGCCCUUAAACUCCAGGGGUAACAGCUGCCUUCCGGUACCUACACUGAGGCCACCAAGACAGAGCCAGGCCCUGUACAGCACGGCUGGAAGGAAAGGGAUGGCAGACAUCAGCUGAAGACUGCCUCUGCCAAGAAGGAAAGAAGGGAAGCUGUUCAUCACUUCAACUACCAGGAAGAGCUCUUUGUUUUGAGAUACUUCUGUGGGUUUUUUGCACUUUGAGUGGAAUAAAGUUAUGGGACAGCAAGGAAUGAAAGCAAAAACCUGUCUGCCAGAUACUUUCCAGGAAACAAUCAGUGACUACACAGCUGUUUAAUUUUUUCCAUGUAUUUCACAUACUUACAUUUUAAAUAUAAAGAUUGUCAAAUGGUGAAGAAAAACGUGGGAAUAAAUCUUUUUUUCUAAAACUUCAGAGUUAGUUUGGUUCUAACGUAGAGUUGCAUUUGAUGGCUUUCCAACAGAAAAGAGGUUCUUUCUAUCCACAGCUUGUUCAAUUUAGAUGUGUGGGAAUUUUUUGGAUGAAAAUGUUCAGGAUGUGGGCCAGACUGGAACGGUCACCUUUUAGCUUUUUAUUGGAAUCUUAGAAAUAAGAAAUGAAAUAAAUUAAAGGUCGCCUACAAUUAAAGCAUAUUUCAAGAUCGAGAACAGUUGGUGACACCAAGAAGAUAAAUCACUGUGCAGCGGUUAGAGGGGAAGGUCUGACCAAAAAUCAGCCAGAUAUCAACUGUAAUCCUUUGUGUGCUGUCGUGUGGGUAUCUAAGUGCAUGGAACAUCUUCAGCCAGAUUUGUCAGUGCUCCGUAUUUAUGGAAAAUAAAAAAUAGAACCCUUAUUUGUUCUUUCUACAUCUAUGAAACAGGACAUACACUUGAAUGAAACACGCAGCCUAGGCAUUACAAACAGAUUUGGUAAUAACACAGGGAGCAAUGGGUCAUUGUGGAAAACAGAUGAACACAGAAAAAGCCAUUUCAUAUGAUACAGAAAGGGUGGAGUUUUUGCCACCAGCACAAAGCAGCUCGAGGAAAACCUCUGCUGCAGACAGCAGUUGUCUUCUCUACGCAGUGAGACAAGCCAGACUGGAGACUGUGUACAGUAGGUGCAUACGUGUUGACAUCUUGGAACAAAAACACAAAACACCUCUCUUUCCAAACAGUGUUGUUGUCCUAAGAUGACUCUUCCUGCUAUUUUUUUUCUUCCCCUAGGAGGAAGUACUGCUGUAUUUGUUUGACAAAUACUGGUGGUCAAGUGAGGAACUGGCAGCCGCACCUACUGACAAGCGCUGUGCAAAUUUUUCCAGCCCUCACACACCUCCCUGUCAAUUAACCUCAUUUCUGACCUGUAAAAGUCUUUGCUGUGCUCAGAAUCCCUUGAGCUCGCUGACAGCACGGUGCUGUCCUGCGGUGUCAGUUCCUAUCAUCUCACCUGGAUGUGAGAAACUCAUUUCCAUGCAGGUCUCAAGGCAGCGUAUCCAUUUUAUCUGUUUCAAAAUUAUAGCCUUUACCCUGCAAGUUUGCUUUAUAAUCACGUAUAAACAGAAAGACAUUCGUUUAUAAUACACAAUCUGAUUACAGUGACCUAAUUUAGAGCAAGAAGGAAAGAAACAAGAUCAUGUGACAGGAGUUGAGCAAAUAUUCAUCUGAGACUGAAUCUUAUCUCAUUUGCAGUAUCUUUACAAUAAAAGUAUCUACAUAAUACACAAUAGAAUUGUUCCUGAGUACCUGGUGCAGCUCCCAUCUCUGACAGGCAUUAGGGUUUCAGUCUCCCAGAGAAGCCAUAAGCUGAGCAGAGGGCAGGACCAGAGGGCCCCAGAGGUCCCUUCCAGCCUCAGCCUGCCUGAAGCUGCUUUUUUCCCCCUGAAACACAUGCUCUCCCUCUCUGAGGUUUGAAAUGGCCACUUACAUUUGCACCAGCUACACAAUACCACACAACACUGAAUAAAAUGAUCAACAGUUAUCCUCAGAAUAAGAAAACCACAUUUUUCAAGCGGCAAGUCACUGUCUUCAAAGCCUUGGUUUUAUUCCAAGAUGCUUUCUGUACAGCAGCCCACAACAGGUAAGCUGACUUUUCCCAUUUGUGUUCAGUGCUUGUAGCAUUCGCCAUUAGCACCAUCAUUUCAGUUCCUGUAAUUUUAAAUUCAGAGAUGAUCUGAAUAUUUAUGUUCAGUAAUCAGUAAAUUAAUCAAGACGGCUAGGACAAUUUAUUUCAGGGAGUAAUUCAGAGAGUUAUUUACUAAUUGUUCUAUACUGAGUGUCAUGGGCUGGCAGCAGCACAAAUCAUAGUGGGAAAAUAUUUCAUUGCAUCAUAAUUAAAUUGUAUAUUUAUUUAGGUAAAUAGAUUCUUUAAGUUGUUUCCAACACAUUCCCUCAAGUUGGAUUCAAGCUAUCCAUCACCGUAUUUCACAGCCCUGUUCGCCAGCACUGACGGACAUAAAUCAAAGACAUAGAAUGAGAGCCUGGCCUGGACAGAGGGAGCUUUACCAGUGGGUCCCAGGCCCCACACAGAAUGAAAGCAUUUACACUGUGCUUUACAAAUGACUCACAGCACGUAAUUCCUCGGGGAUGCUGAAAAAGUGGAAACCUGCUCUGUUUCCCCUUCUUGCUCUGAGCUUCAUGGCCUCCAGCCCUCUGUGCUAUCCUUUGGUUCCUUCACCUGCUGGUUCACCUCAGCCACCCAACAGAAAUCUUCCCUCUUUUCAGCCACAACAGGGAGCCGAGGCGGGCCACCGAGGUGUCCGACAGGGCUACCACAAGGUGCAUGGCAGGCGGGAAGGGAUGCUGUGCUUCCCCUCAUCUGUGGAACUGUACUCAGAGAAUUUUUCACUGGCAAACAGCUUUUCAACCAGACAUUCGCAGUCAGAUUCCCCAAACUGGAGGUUAUUGUCACAACCAGACUCAGCACAGACGGGCUGCACAGAGUUGGGUGAGAGAGCCUAGAUAACAAAGGAAUUAGGCUGAACUCUUGCCCUCAGCUUGAACAUUCUUUGAAGUU